rnacentral:rRNA from 1 species
AAAGCGUGCGCAGGCGGUUAUGUAAGACAGAUGUGAAAUCCCCGGGCUCAACCUGGGAACUGCAUUAGUGACUGCAUAGCUGGAGUACGGCAGAGGGGGAUGGAAUUCCGCGUGUAGCAGUGAAAUGCGUAGAUAUGCGUAGGAACACCGAUGGCGAAGGCAAUCCCCUGGGCCUGUACUGACGCUCAUGCACGAAAGCGUGGGGAGCAAACAGGAUUAGAUACCCUAGU